rnacentral:rRNA from 1 species
GACACGCUGGCGGCGUGCUUAAUACAUGCAAGUCGAGCGAGGUUACUGUUUCGGAUCCCUUCGGGGUGAAGAAGCUUUAACCUAGCGGCGGACGGGUGAGUAACGCGUGGGUAACCUACCCCAAAGUCCGGGAUAACAGCGGGAAACCGCUGCUAAUACCGGAUGCCUUUACCUUGGGGCAUCUUGAGGUAAAGAAAGGUAACGCUUUGGGAUGGGCCCGCGUCCCAUUAGCUAGUUGGUGAGGUAACGGCUCACCAAGGCGACGAUGGGUAGCCGGCCUGAGAGGGUGGACGGCCACACUGGGACUGAGACACGGCCCAGACUCCUACGGGAGGCAGCAGUAGGGAAUAUUGCGCAAUGGACGGAAGUCUGACGCAGCGACGCCGCGUGAGCGAUGAAGGUCUUCGGAUCGUAAAGCUCUGUCCUUGGGGAAGAAGGCGAAAGCUUGACGGUACCCAAGAAGAAAGCCCCGGCUAACUACGUG